GAUGAACGCUGACAGAAUGCUUAACACAUGCAAGUCUUUGGCGAAGCUGUGCUUGCACAGCCUAGCCAAGGCGGACGGGUGAGUAACGCGUAAGGAACUUGCCCUGCAGUCAGGGAUAACAGACGGAAACGACUGAUAAGACCUGGUAAAGUCAGGCGGACUCAUGUCCAGCCUGAUGAAAAGAGAUGCUGCAGGAGAGCCUUGCGUCCUAUUAGCUUGUUGGUGGGGUAACGGCCCACCAAGGCGAUGAUAGGUAGCCGGCCUUAGAGGGUGGACGGCCACAAGGGGACUGAGAUACGGCCCUUACUCCUACGGGAGGCAGCAGUGGGGAAUAGUGGACAAUGGGGGCAACCCUGAUCCAGCAAUUCUGUGUUCACGAUGAAGGUUUUCGGAUUGUAAAGUGCUUUCAGCAGGGAAGAAAAAAAUGACGGUACCUGCAGAAGAAGCGACGGCUAAAUACGUG
rnacentral:rRNA from 1 species